CUUCUCAACAGACACUCCUUUAACACUGAACACUGUGACCCUUAUAUCUGCACCUGAGCUGUCGAACUAUCUCGUGAGAUAUGCCUGCAUAGCACAGACUUUCUUCUGCUUCUGCUUUCUACUAUCUCUGGAAUCACCCAGACAAGCACAGUGAAUGGAAUGUCCUUUUAGUCCACAUUUCUGACAACAUCUUCCAGCAAGGUUAUUCCUGUCUUCACCGGAGAAGUCAUCGGAAUAAAUUUUGUGCCUCAUGUUUCUAUCACUAAAUCUCAAAGAACUUGCGGACUCUGGAGCCUUUGUUUAUUUCUUGAGCUCUCACCAGGAUUGUCCUUAAAACUCC
rnacentral:lncRNA from 1 species